UUGUGCUUCUCCUCCAUUCUUUCCACUGUGUGGUUAUUUUUUGUCGUCAAAAGAGAGAUUUACUCAUAAGGAGAAUGACAUUUUAACAUUGUAAAUAUGAAAAACUCUUUUUUUGCCAAAGAAGAGUGGCUUUCCAUAAUAAUUAAUCUACUCCUCAUCAUUCUAAGAAAUAAAUCUUCUCUUCAGAAAAUCAUAGACAAUAUUCAUUUGAAAAGGAGAUGAAUACUAAAAGGAUGGCCUCUAGAAGGUUGGAAGAGGGAAGGGUGAAUGAGGAAGUUCCUCCUCAAGUUAAGCAAGUUCUUCAAGGUACUCAAGGGGCUCAAGGUGCUCAAGGUGUUCAAAUCCCUAUUAGAGGUCAAGGUUUAGGUGGAAGUUGAGAAGGAUCUUGAAGCAAAGCUUGGAAACUAGUUAUCGUUCAAGCAUAGUUGAAGUGUUUCCUCACUUUACUCGAGGGCAUCAUAGUAUUUAGACUUCUUUAUUUCAUUGUAUUGUAAUAUAUAUUAGAUUGUUAUAUUUCGAUUCUAUUGGCCGUGUCCCAAUAUUUCUUUAAGUCUAAGGAUGGCAUAUAUUGAGACUUGAAGUUUUCUAUGAUUUUAAUAUGAAAGAUAUUUUAAGA